CACUCUAGAGAGACUGCCAGUGAUAACCUGGAGGAAGGUGGGGAUGACGUCAAAUCAUCAUGCCCCUUAUGCUUAGGGCUACACACGUGCUACAAUGGGUAGUACAGAGGGUUGCCAAGCCGUAAGGUGGAGCUAAUCCCUUAAAGCUACUCUCAGUUCGGAUUGUAGGCUGAAACGCGCCUACAUGAAGCUGGAGUUACUAGUAAUCGCAGAUCAGAAUGCUGCGGUGAAUGCGUUCCCGGGUCUUGUACACACCGCCCGUCACACCACGGGAGUUGGAGACGCCCGAAGCCGAUUAUCUAACCU
rnacentral:rRNA from 1 species